GACGAACGCUGGCGGCGUGCUUAACACAUGCAAGUCGAACGGAAAGGCCCUGCUUUUGUGGGGUGCUCGAGUGGCGAACGGGUGAGUAACACGUGAGUAACCUGCCCUUGACUUUGGGAUAACUUCAGGAAACUGGGGCUAAUACCGGAUAGGAGCUCCUGCUGCAUGGUGGGGGUUGGAAAGUUUCGGCGGUUGGGGAUGGACUCGCGGCUUAUCAGCUUGUUGGUGGGGUAGUGGCUUACCAAGGGUUUGACGGGUAGCCGGCCUGAGAGGGUUAACGACCACAUUGGGACUGAGAUACGGACCAGAAUCCUACGGGAGGCAGCAGGGGGGAAUAUUGCACAAUGGGCGGAAGCCUGAUGCAGCAACGCCGCGUGCGGGAUGACGGCCUUCGGGUUGUAAACCGCUUUCGCCUGUGACGAAGCGUGAGUGACGGUAAUGGGUAAAGAAGCACCGGCUAACUACGUG
rnacentral:rRNA from 1 species